GUUAGGGGCUAUAUACCCUAAAAGUGCCAGGUCCUGUCUGAUCUUGAAAAGAAAGCAGGGUCAGCCCUGGCUAAUACUUGGAUGGGAGACCACUAAAAAAUAUUGUGAGGCAGCCAUAUCC
rnacentral:rRNA from 11 species